rnacentral:rRNA from 1 species
GAUGGGCGUGCGGCUGAUUAGGUAGUUGGCGGGGUGACGGCCCACCAAGCCUACGAUCAGUAGCUGAUGUGAAAGCAUGAUCAGCCACACGGGCACUGAGACACGGGCCCGACUCCUACGGGAGGCAGCAGUAAGGAAUAUUGGUCAAUGGACGAAAGUCUGAACCAGCCAUGCCGCGUGGAGGAUGAAGGUCCUCUGGAUUGUAAACUUCUUUUAUAGGGGACGAAAAAAGGAAAUUCUUUUCCGUCUGACGGUACCCUAUGAAUAAGCACCGGCUAACUCCGUGCCAGCAGCCGCGGUAAUACGGAGGGUGCAAGCGUUAUCCGGAUUCACUGGGUUUAAAGGGUGCGUAGGCGGGCAGGUAAGUCAGUGGUGAAAUCUUCGAGCUUAACUCGGAAACUGCCUUUGAUACUAUCUGUCUUGAAUAUUGUGGAGGUAAGCGGAAUAUGUCAUGUAGCGGUGAAAUGCUUAGAUAUGACAUAG